rnacentral:rRNA from 1 species
UACGUAGGGUGCGAGCGUUUAAUCGGAAUUACUGGGCGUAAAGCGUGCGCAGGCGGUUGUGCAAGACCGAUGUGAAAUCCCCGGGCUUAACCUGGGAACUGACAUUGGUGACUGGCAGGCUUUGAGUGUGGCAGAGGGAGGUAGAAUUCCACGUGUAGCAGUGAAAUGCGUAGAGAUGUGGAGGAAUACCGAUGGCGAAGGCAGCCUCCUGGGCCAACACUGACGCUCAUGCACGAAAGCGUGGGGAGCGAACAGGA